GACGAACGCUGGCGGCGUGCCUAAUACAUGCAAGUCGAGCGGACCGACGGGAGCUUGCUCCCUUAGGUCAGCGGCGGACGGGUGAGUAACACGUGGGUAACCUGCCUGUAAGACUGGGAUAACUCCGGGAAACCGGGGCUAAUACCGGAUGCUUGAUUGAACCGCAUGGUUCAAUCAUAAAAGGUGGCUUUUAGCUACCACUURCAGAUGGACCCGCGGCGCAUUAGCUAGUUGGUGAGGUAACGGCUCACCAAGGCGACGAUGCGUAGCCGACCUGAGAGGGUGAUCGGCCACACUGGGACUGAGACACGGCCCAGACUCCUACGGGAGGCAGCAGUAGGGAAUCUUCCGCAAUGGACGAAAGUCUGACGGAGCAACGCCGCGUGAGUGAUGAAGGUUUUCGGAUCGUAAAACUCUGUUGUUAGGGAAG
rnacentral:rRNA from 1 species